rnacentral:lncRNA from 1 species
GUAACGCCCGGCCCUGCCCCCAGCAGAGGCGGAAGCGGUGUCGCUCUGAGGGGUCGCCAGUCGCCGCAGGCGCUUCAGCCCAGCGGCGGGCCUUGGCCCUUGGCUGCCUACUCCUACCGCCCCAGCCCCGGGCGGCCCUGGGCCUGCUGCGGGCGCGGCGCUGCCCGACCAGAGCUUCCUGUGGAACGUCUUCCAGAGGGUCGAUAAAGACAGGAGUGGAGUGAUAUCAGACACCGAGCUUCAGCAAGCUCUCUCCAACGGACAAAGGAAUCAUUAGGACAAAUUGUUAAUACUGCUUCAUGGUGGAGAUGCUUCUGGUUUAUUUUGUGGCUACCGCUGUUACUGCUUGGAGUGCCUCACCGAGCCAGGAUGAAGCUCCACCCGCCCUUCAGGAUGCAAAGCCCUCCUCUAUAAAGUGCAUGCGGGGCCAGAUGCAGUGGCUCACAUCUGACCUCCCAACACUUUGGGAGGCCGAGGCAGGGGGAUCGCUUGAGCCCAGGAGUUUGAGACCAGCCUGGACAACAUUGAUGAAGCCCCACCCGCCCUUCAGGAUGCCAGCCUUGGCAACAUCGUGAGACCCUGUUUCUACAAAAACUAAACAAGUGUAGUGGUGCACGCCUGUAUUCCCAGCUACUUGGGAGGCUGAGAUGGGAAGAUCACUUGAGCCUGGGAGGUUGAGGCUGCAUUGAGCUGAGAUCAAGCCACGGCACUCCAGCCUGGGAGACAGAGCGAAACCCCAUCUCAAAAAAACAAAGAAAGUGGAUGCGUGCUGCUCCUGCCAUUGGAUCAUCGCAGCAUUUUUCUUUUCUCUGAUAUGCGCCUUUUUCCUCAUCGUGGGGGCUCAUGUUUUCGUAAUUCCCUCUCGCUACUAGAUUGUGAGCUGUGUGAAGGAAGGUUCAUAGUUGAGUUGUAUGUACAGGCACACAAAAUUUGUCCUUGGAUAGACACAUAUCAAUCCACUUCCUUCUCCUCUCUGAAUUUCUUUAUUUAAAAAAAAAAGUAGAGAUGGAGUCUCACUGUCUUGCCCAGGCUGGUGUCAAACUCCUAGGCUCAAGUGAUCCUCCCACCUCUACUAAUAUGAAUUAUUAGGCUAUGCUAAUAUGAAUUUGUAUACUAAUAUGAUUGAAAUUAGUUUGACUUCUAUAAUAAUUGUUCUCCCAGAUUGGGCUUCUGUUUUGAUAGUAGAACUAAAUUAUUAGGCUAUUUCAAGAAAUUAAUAUAUUACUGGUAGAAAAACUGAAGCUACAAAAUGGCCUGGUUUCUCACUUCAGUUAAAUUUGUGCUUCUGAGUGCUUGUAUUCUAGGUGAAACCGCACUGAGAAGGUAUUUGUGGCCUAUACGCUGAUUCAUUGAUUAGACUUCUUUGCACAGGAGAGCUGCUAAAAAUUACUGCGGUGAACAG